GGAUCUUGGACUUGGGCUGGCACAGAGAUUGUGGUCCUACCCAGGCAGAGGAAGGAUGAGCUGCUUCUAGGAGCUGUUCCUAUCUCAACUCUUUGGAAGAACAAAGGACAACCCUUCAAUCCUUCCUUAUGAUUCCUGAUGAUCUGAAGUGCAGUUUGAGCAGAUCUAAUUAUCCCUGCUGUCUAUAGCAUCAUUCCUUGAGUAAUGGAUCUCCAGAGAACUCCUCCUCCUCUCUCUUUCUGGGUUAUGAUCUAUUGCAUGUCAGUGCAUCAUCAAAGCAAAUUGCCUCUUCAAUGAUGUUGAAGGACACUUGGAUUCCCAUUUGGUUGGACCCCAGUGCUAUCUGGUUAAGAGCAAAUGCCUUCAAGCUGGGAUGUAAUGACAUUUCUAGGACUGUCAGAGAAAAUGAAUCUUCAUUUUUCUUUUAAUUUCAGUGUAAGAGACGACCUUUGACAGAGAAGGGAAUAUUUCCAAUUAAUGUUAAUGAUCAAAUGGCACAAUAAUAAAUUUAAUUUUCUCCAUGAAGUUG
rnacentral:lncRNA from 1 species